rnacentral:rRNA from 1 species
GUCUACGGCCAUGCCACUCUGAACAAGCCCGUCUGAUCUCGGAAGCUAAGCAGGGUCAGGCCUGGUUAGUACUUGGAUGGGAGACCACCUAGGAAGACCAGAUGCUGUAGGCG